rnacentral:misc_RNA from 1 species
AGCUAGUCUUGUUGGUUUGGGUUGUGAUUUGAUGAAACAAAAGUAUAAUGUGGUUUUAGCUGGUUAUCAUAGGUCGUUUGGUCAUCGUCCUGAGAGGACGUUUAUAUGUAUGGUUUAUGAUUCAGAGUUGAACAAAUGGAGGAAGUUUGUGUCGUUGCAGGAUGAUCAGUUCACACAUAUGAAUAAGAAUCAAGUUGUGUUUAUUAAUGGUGGAUUGCAUUGGUUGACGGAUAGUUGUUCAUGUAUGCUUGUUCUUGAUUUGGGUACUGAUGUUUGGAGAAAAAUUCAGUUGCCUCAUGAAAUUAGUUGUGGAGUUAGGAGUCGUGUUU